UACGUAGGUGGCAAGCGUUGUCCGGAUUUACUGGGCGUAAAGGGCGUGCAGGCGGUCUGUUAAGUUCAGGGUGAAAGCUCCCGGCUCAACUGGGAGAGGUCCUUGGAUACUGGCGAUCUUGAGUCCGGGAGAGGUGAGUGGAACUGCGAGUGUAGAGGUGAAAUUCGUAGAUAUUCGCAAGAACACCAGUGGCGAAGGCGGCUCACUGGCCCGGUACUGACGCUGAGGUGCGAAAGCGUGGGGAGCAAACAGG
rnacentral:rRNA from 1 species